rnacentral:rRNA from 1 species
AUACGGAGGAUCCGAGCGUUAUCCGGAUUUAUUGGGUUUAAAGGGAGCGUAGGCGGACGCUUAAGUCAGUUGUGAAAGUUUGCGGCUCAACCGUAAAAUUGCAGUUGAUACUGGGUGUCUUGAGUACAGUAGAGGCAGGCGGAAUUCGUGGUGUAGCGGUGAAAUGCUUAGAUAUCACGAAGAACUCCGAUUGCGAAGGCAGCUUGCUGGACUGUAACUGACGCUGAUGCUCGAAAGUGUGGGUAUCAAACAGGAUUAGAUACCCUGGUAGUCCACACAGUAAACGAUGAAUACUCGCUGUUUGCGAUAUACAGUAAGCGGCCAAGCGAAAGCGUUAAGUAUUCCACCUGGGGAGUACGCCGGCAACGGUGAAACUCAAAGGAAUUGACGGGGGCCCGCACAAGCGGAGGAACAUGUGGUUUAAUUCGAUGAUACGCGAGGAACCUUACCCGGGCUUGAAUUGCAACUGAAUGAUGUGGAGACAUGUCAGCCGCAAGGCAGUUGUGAAGGUGCUGCAUGGUUGUCGUCAGCUCGUGCCGUGAGGUGUCGGCUUAAGUGCCAUAACGAGCGCAACCCUUAUCGAUAGUUACCAUCAGGUUAUGCUGGGGACUCUGUCGAGACUGCCGUCGUAAGAUGUGAGGAAGGUGGGGAUGACGUCAAAUCAGCACGGCCCUUACGUCCGGGGCUACACACGUGUUACAAUGGGGGGUACAGAAGGCAGCUACACGGCGACGUGAUGCUAAUCCCGAAAGCCUCUCUCAGUUCGGAUUGGAGUCUGCAACCCGACUCCAUGAAGCUGGAUUCGCUAGUAAUCGCGCAUCAGCCACGGCGCGGUGAAUACGUUCCCGGGCCUUGUACACACCGCCCGUCAAGCCAUGAGAGCCGGGGGUACCUGAAGUGCGUAACCGCGAGGAGCGCCCUAGGGUAAAACUGGUGACUGGGGCU